rnacentral:lncRNA from 1 species
GUUUAUUUUUAAAAAUCCACCUUCCCCUUGUGUGUGUGUUCUCAAGGUUGAUGUACAUAUUUGUGUCUGUCUGUUUUCAGUAUUGUAACAUACAAAACAUCCGAGAUCAUGGUGCCACCCAAGCUGUGGAAGGAUGGAAAUUGGUCUACUGAAUUUAAAGACUUUGUCAAGCAGGCGCUUAUUUGAGAUCAAGGCAGCUUUUGGUUGCCUUUGUGGGAGGAGUUGAAUUCUACAGGCUCCACCUACCAUAUUUCUAUUGAUCACCACCACCUAUAUAAAGAGACUUCUCUUGUCAAGUCAAGCCACGUUCGUGCCAUGUCAAGCCCAGGCCGAACGCCUACCAGGCACACAGAUGCCCUCGACCCUCCAUGACAUAGCCAAGCCAUUUUAUGUAACUCUACCAAGUAAUGCUUAACAGAGCGUAUACCAGUAUAUUAUUUUUACAAUAAUACUAUUUCCAAGUACAGGACC